GCAGAAGGAUUUCUGAGGGUUUACUGAGGUUCUGGAGGGAAAUCUGCAUGAGGACCCAGGAAUGACUUUGAAACAGAGAACUUCACAGGUGGGUAAGGAAUCUCUUACUACAACUGAAGCAAAGGAAAACAACAAACAGCCCUUCACUCAGGUGCCAAGAGCCAAAUAAGAAAAGGUUUCACACAUCCCCAGUCAAGAAGCAGGGCUGUGUCACCAACUUACAGACAGCAAAAACGCAACACUGAAACUCUCAGGGCUGGUGUCAAUCGGAACACGCAAGAGCCAGGAGCAGUGUUUGGUAAUGCUGGAGGAAAAACAACAUCUAAUGGGAACGGAUGAACUACAUUCAAAGUCUCACCUGACUCUCUCUCCCUUGCUCACUGUCUCUCUGUUUCUCUUUUUGUUAAACAUACAUGGAGUGUUUCCUGGGUACCAGGCACUGUCCUGAGUCUUCACUUGUGUCAACUCUACGAGAUAGGUGGUACUGUCAUCUGACAGAUGAAGAAACCGGGGUAAGGUAACUUGCUGGAGUUCAGCUCCUAAACAGCAGUCCUGGAAUCUGCACCCAGCUCCCGGCCCUGGGAUACCUCUGUCAUCUCCGAGCCUCCACGUGCUCACUUGCAGAGGAAGAGCUUGAUAGCAUCUUGCUUCCAUCCCUCUCAGCAGAGAGAUAAUCAGGAAAUCCGUCAAGAUAAGGAAAGCGCUUUGACAUCUUUUGGGGAAAACCAAGCUCCUGAACUAAGUCCAAACCACUAUGAUAUCUGGGUGACUGGAAGGUCACAGAUACCUAGGCUGCCUGACAGUCAUCACGUAGCGCCCAAGCCUUCACUGCACUGUUGAAGUCCUAACAGUGCACAUUUAAGAGCGCUUUCUCUCCUCACAGGUUCGCUCAUCUCACUCCAACUCUGCGGGAUGAGUAUUACCUUUAUUACUUGAUAGAUAAAGAAACAGAGAAAGAUGAGUACAAGUGCCUGACCUAAGCUUUGAUUGCCGAGGCGUCCAUUUCAAAGAGGUGACCUUCGAAGAUGGCUAUCUCGCAAAUAAACAUACUGCCAGCCACAAGACAGAUAAAAGCCAGGCUGCCGACUGGCUCUCCACCCCAGGCUCCUUGGUUUUAGAGGCUGUGGUUGAUUUCGAUAACUGACCGUGGAGCUACUUGUUUUUUCCUUUCGUCAUGCUUUAAACUCCAGCCUUUAUGUUUAAAGUUCACCAAUGAAGAGAGAGAUCUGCCCCCACCCUCAACCCCAAUAAAUGCAGAACCCCUGGCCUGUGUGCCCUUUCUCUUGCUCCUCUUUUUCUUUCCUUUCUUCCCUCCCUCUUCCCCUCCUUUCUCCCUCCCCUGACCUUGCUGUGUGGACUGCCUCUGGUAUGCUGUGUAAUUUCCAGGUCUUGUAAGCAAUAAACUUUUAUUUUUUCAAAGU